AUGAGGUGGUUACUGCCCUGGACGCUGGUGGCAGUGGCAGCAGCAGCUGCAGCGGGCAGCACCUUGGCCACGGCCCUCCCUCCAGCUCCCACAGCCGCGGGCCCCACCCCGGCCCCGCGGGAGGACACCUCCUCACGGCCCCAGUUCUGCAAGUGGCCGUGCGAGUGCCCGGCGGCCCCGCCCCGCUGCCCGCUGGGCGUCAGCCUCGUCACGGACGGCUGCGAGUGCUGUAAGGCGUGUGCCCAACAGCUGGGGGACAACUGCACAGAGGCUGCGGUCUGCGACCCCCACCGGGGCCUCUACUGCGACUACAGUGGGGACCACCCGAGGUACGCAGUAGGAGUAUGUGCACGAAGGGAAGAAGUGUCUGGCCGUGUACCAGCCAGAAGCGCCCGUGAACUUCACGCUGGCCGGCUGCACCAGCACACGCGCCUACCGGCCCAAGUACUGUGGGGUCUGCACCGACAGCCG
rnacentral:lncRNA from 1 species